AAGACCUUGCACUUUUGGAGCGGCCGAUGUCUGAUUAGCUAGUUGGUGGGGUAAUGGCCUACCAAAGCUUCGAUCAGUAGCUGGUCUGAGAGGACGGCCAGCCACACUGGGACUGAGACACGGCCCAGACCCCUACGGGAGGCAGCAGUGGGGAAUUUUGGACAAUGGGCGCAAGCCUGAUCCAGCCAUGCCGCGUGAGUGAAGAAGGCCUUCGGGUUGUAAAGCUCUUUCAGCCGGGAAGAAAAGGUUGCGACUAAUAAUCGCAAUCCAUGACGGUACCGAAAGAAGAAGCACCGGCUAACUACGUGCCAGCAGCCGCGGUAAUACGUAGGGUGCGAGCGUUAAUCGGAAUUACUGGGCGUAAAGCGUGCGCAGGUGGUUUUGUAAGUCAGAUGUGAAAGCCCCGGGCUCAACCUGGGAACU
rnacentral:rRNA from 1 species